GCCCUACUUUUCUUAAACUCGUGUAUUACUUAUCUAGUGAAUUAAAAGCCCUGCGAUUUAGAUUUAACAGGAUGUUGCAACUUUGAAUAAAUGUUAUUUAGAAUUUAAAACUCUCUGGUAGAUGUGAUCUUUUUAAUAAGUUUGCCCCAAGCAGAAGGUAUUGCUUUAUAAAUCACCACAAAUCAGAAGAACUAUUUUAAUAAUUUCUAAUGUUUCAUCCCUUUUUGAUAUAUUUAUAUAGUGUAUAUCAAAAGGAAUAAAACAUUAAAGGAAUUAUAUUAAUAUUUUAUAUAUACUUUUUCCC
rnacentral:lncRNA from 1 species